rnacentral:lncRNA from 1 species
UGGCGGGGGGAGGGGGCCGCCGCAGCCCGCCCCGGCCCGCCGCCCUCGGUCGCCUCGCCGCCCUCCCCUCGUAUCGCCCCCAGCUCUGCCCUCCCGUGAAGCCCCGGCCCUGGGAGUCCCGUCGUUUCUCCCCGCGGCGGCAGGGGCGCUGGCGGGGGGAGCCCGGCGUUUCCAGCCUUGCUGGAGCUCGGCUGCGCCGGUCCCGGGAGGCGUAAAACGUUGUGGCCGUUCUGAGCCAAAGCGGCUUGCUGAGGGAGGAGAGGCCCUGCUUGCCCCAUGCGCCCGGCGAGAGGGCAGCCACCUGCCGCCCUGGGGACCGGGAGCAGUGGCCCAGGAGGUUGUGAUUCUGGAAAACAGAAGGCAGUGCUGGACAACUAUAGCUCUACGUUUAAGUAUUGUGACAGUGAAUUACUGUGCAAGAGAGAACAUUCCGAGUGAGUCUCAAAAUAGAAGGCAGUUAAGUAAUGCAAGUGAUAAUGAGGAGAAACCAUGUGCUGAUCCAGCUGUCCACACAUCAUUAAGGAGUCCUUUCUGGAUCACAGAUGUGCAAAAAAUUACCAGUACAGAAGAGGAACUGGCAAAAUGCAUUAGGAAAAGAGAUUUGCAAGGAAUGAUGUUCCUUCCACCCAGUAAAUCAGAGAUUCUUUAAAAAAAAUAGUAGUGGGAGACAGAAAAAAGCACUCUUCUCCUCUAUGCCCUUCCUUGUUUUUUUCUCUUCUUGUAAAACCCGAUAAAAGGAGAAUUAAUGACAUGCUUUAAGGAUGCCCUUGAUCUGUGUAAUUAGAGAAGCAAUUCUGCCUUACUUCGUCACAGACUACUUUCUCCUAAGACAGCACCCAUCCCCUGGUUUAGCCUGCCUGGCAAGUUACAGGGUUGUCUGCAAGUCACUGUGAGAUCCUGGAG